UCAGUAGCUACGAUUUUUUUUUCGACACAUACAUAUAUCUAUAUCUAUAUCUAUACUAAUAUAUAAAUCUAUAGGCUCUGUCUGUACAUGGUGAUUUUAUUUCGAAUUAUGCGUCAAAUAUCAUUUUUAUGACCUACUCAUACUGUAUCUACCUUUUUUAGAAUUUUCGUCUGUCUGUCUCUCUGUCGGUUUGUACCUUUAUAACUAAUCAACCACUUAUCUGAUUGAGAUGAAAUUUUUUAUACAUAUACAAGAUGCUGUCACUUAAAAUAUAGGCUACUUUUUAAAUCAAUUAUAAAUCAGAAUUCGGAUUAGAUUUUGUUUCAUUUAUCAAUUGUUUCUGUCAAUUGAAUCGUCUAUCACAUUUCAUUAAGCAGUCAAAAUAAGAGUGUCUAAUCUGACUUAUUUGUAACUAAGAUUAAAAAGACAAAAUUACGUAUCUUACGCAAUAUGUAAAAUAAAUGAAGAUCAUAACCUAUAAAUAAUCAUUUAUAUUAUUUAUAAACAAUUUUUGUGCAUUAACUUAUAUAAAAAAUUGGAUUCAAAAGAUAAAGAUAAGUACUUGAUUUCACUUAGUUAUCUAUAGUAAUUUUUAUUUUUGUAUGCUAAGGUAACCAAGAUUGACCAAUUCAAUAUAACUUAUCGUAAUUAAUAAUUUUAUAUUUUAGACUAGCCGCUACCCGU